UGCCGGCUAGAAGCCGGAGCUGAGAGGAGGCGGAGAGAUGGCUUCCCAGCCGCCGCCUCCCCCAAAACCCUGGGAAACCCGUCGAAUUCCGGGGGCCGGGCCGGGACCCGGCCCUACUUUCCAUAGGUUUCCUGUUGCCAUUACCUGUUCCCCCAGCACCAAACCCCAAGUGAAAAUCAGAUCUGCUGACUUGGGUCCUACUUUGUUGACAAGACCUGGACAACCAACACUUACUAGAGUGCCCCCACCUAUUCUCCCAAGGCCAUCCCAGCAGACUGGGAGCAGCAGUGUGAACACUUUCAGACCUGCUUACAGUUCAUUUUCUUCUGGCUAUGGUGCUUAUGGAAAUUCAUUUUAUGGAAGCUAUAGCCCUUAUAGUUAUGGAUAUAAUGGGCUGGGCUUUAACCGCCUCCGUAUAGAUGAUCUUCCACCUAGUAGAUUUGUUCAGCAAGCUGAAGAAAGCAGCAGAGGUGCAUUUCAGUCCAUUGAAAGUAUUGUGCAUGCAUUUGCCUCUGUUAGUAUGAUGAUGGAUGCUACCUUUUCAGCUGUCUAUAACAGCUUCAGGGCUGUAUUGGAUGUAGCAAAUCACUUUUCCCGAUUAAAAAUACACUUUACAAAGGUUUUUUCAGCUUUUGCAUUAGUUAGGACUAUAAGAUAUCUUUAUAGACGGAUACAGUGGAUGAUGGGUUUAAGAAGAGGCUCUGAGAAUGAAGACCUGUGGGCAGAAAGUGAAGGAACUGUGGCUUGCCUUGGUGCUGAGGACCAAGGAGCUAACUCAGCAAAAUCUUGGCCAAUAUUCUUGUUCUUUGCUGUUAUCCUUGGUGGUCCGUAUCUCAUCUGGAAACUUCUGUCUACCCACAAUGAUGAAGUAACAGACAAUAUCAACUGGGCAAGUGGAGAGGAUGACCAUGUAGUUGCUAGAGCGGAAUAUGAUUUUGCUGCCGUAUCUGAAGAAGAAAUUUCUUUCCGUGCUGGUGAUAUGUUAAACUUAGCUCUCAAAGGCUCUCCUUAGUUUUCUGCUGAUCUUUGGAUACCUGCUUAGGUUUAAGAGUAAAAGACUGGACAGCUGAUUGAAGGCCUUGAGUAUACAGGGGAGAUGAAAAGAGAUGAAGUUGAAUCAUCAGUCUUCUGUAUUUAACUGGAAGCCAAUGUGGUUUUGUGCAGUCAGAUACCCAGUGCUGUCCAGUUACCUACCCCCGUUCUGUCUUGAACCCACUUCAGCAGGUUUUUGCUCCCGCCAGAAUCACUCGUGUUGAGAUCACCAGUGACUACCAUACUGCUUAUCAAGAGGAUCAGUCUUCAUUCUAAUUGACCUGUUGAGGUGCAUUUGAUCACUCCCUCCUCUGAAUUUUCACUUGGCUUUCAGAAGACCACACUCUACUGGUUUCCUCGCAAUAUCAUUGACCUUUUAUUUACAGGCUUUAUUGCUGUUUUCUCUUCAUAUCCUCUAUCCCUAAAUGUUGGAGGAUCCCAGGUUUUAGAUCUUGGAUUUUUCUGUGCUCACUUCCUUGAUGAUUUCAUCCAGUCUGAUGCCUGUGAAUACUAGAUGUUGUCUGCAAAAAUUUUACUUUCAGUUAUGAUCUGAGAUCCAGAAUCCACCUGCCACUUCAGUAUCUCCACUUUAUAUCUACCAGGCAUCUCACACCUAGUAUGCCUAAAAAUAAUUCCUUUCACCUUCAAAGCCUGUUCCUUCCCCCACUCUUUCUCUAUCUGUAAAUGGAAACUGUAUCUUUCUACUUGUACUUGCCAGAGACUUUGGAAUUUAGAAAGUUGGAAAGGCAUAAUUACAGGGGAAAAAGCUUAAUAAACCAGCAACCAUGUAUAUUUCAUCUUUCAUUUUGCUGCAGAUCCUUAAGUUGAAAUGGCCAUUUGGAAACUUCUGCUUUAAGAUCUAGGGAGAUCCCUAAGAGCCUUCUGACUCAUCAGAGAAAUGGCAGAUCAAUUUAUAAUGUGUAUCUUCAUAUACAUUUUGUAGACCAUGGUAAUAUUCUUAGAAAUUCCUUGAAAAUUGGCCAAUCGCAUACAUGAUACAUGC